rnacentral:rRNA from 1 species
GACGAACGCUGGCGGCGUGCCUAAUACAUGCAAGUAGAACGCUGAAGGAGGAGCUUGCUUCUCCGGAUGAGUUGCGAACGGGUGAGUAACGCGUAGGUAACCUGCCUGGUAGCGGGGGAUAACUAUUGGAAACGAUAGCUAAUACCGCAUAAGAGUAGAUGUUGCAUGACAUUUGCUUAAAAGGUGCAAUUGCAUCACUACCAGAUGGACCUGCGUUGUAUUAGCUAGUUGGUGAGGUAACGGCUCACCAAGGCGACGAUACAUAGCCGACCUGAGAGGGUGAUCGGCCACACUGGGACUGAGACACGGCCCAGACUCCUACGGGAGGCAGCAGUAGGGAAUCUUCGGCAAUGGACGGAAGUCUGACCGAGCAACGCCGCGGGAGUGAAGAAGGUUUUCGGAUCGUAAAGCUCUGUUGUAAGAGAAGAACGAGUGUGAGAGUGGAAAGUUCACACUGUGACGGUAGCUUACCAGAAAGGGACGGCUAACUACGUG